AUCCAGCUGACGAGUACCAAAUAGGACGAAACGAGCGUCAAACUGCAU
rfam:Schistosoma margrebowiei strain Zambia genome assembly, scaffold: SMRZ_scaffold0000452